rnacentral:rRNA from 2 species
GGUCAAGCUACAAAGGGCGCAUGGUGAAUGCCUUGGCACUAGGAGCCGAAGAAGGACGUGAUAAGCUGCGAUAAGCCUUGGGUAGCCGCAAAUAGGCAGAGAUCCAGGGAUUUCCGAAUGAGGGAACUCACAUGGGGAACCCCAUGUAUCAUGCACUGAAUACAUAGGUGUAUGAGGGUAAACCCGGGGAACUGAAACAUCUAAGUACCCGGAGGAAGAGAAAGAAAAAUCGAUUUCCUAAGUAGCGGCGAGCGAACGGGAAAGAGCCCAAACCAGAAACUUGUUUCUGGGGUUGAGGAUAGAUCAUAAAAGAAGAGGUAUCUUAAUCGAAAAGGGCUGGAACGCCCUACCAUAGAAGGUAAUAGUCCUGUAGAUGAAAAGAGAAAACUUCGAGAUCUAAUCCAGAGUACCACGAGACACGUGAAACCUUGUGGGA